GAAACUUCUCAAGCAGGUUAUUUACAGAACGGAUCACUCCUUCAACCAAUCUGCCACCUUGCAAAAGUAACUCGUUUGGUCGAUUUUUGUAGUUCGCUACAUGUUUUGCUGAGAUCUCCAUAGUAAUGGCAUCAACUUGAUAAUCUCGAAAAACACCAUGAGGACCUGUGGGAACACCCAGUGCCUGAUUAUAUAAUGAGCUAGCAAGUGUAGCAGAGCCUUCAAUAUAUUCUGCAACAGAAAUACCAAAGUUCCAUUGGGGAUUCAAACUUCUAGCCACUGUGCCCAGUUUGUAAAACAGUUCAGCCAGACUUCUCAACCACCAAGAGUCCAACAAAGACCCUAAUUUCUCAACCUUCACCCUUAAUCGUUGCCCAUUUACAGCCAAAUAGUUCACAACAUUGAUCAGAUCGAGGUUUGGCAUCUGUCCAUUGGAUGCUUCAGCAUAUAAAUUGAGAACAUCUCUUUCUGCUUUCUCACUGCCAUCUGUAACCUUUAUGACAAGGGCAGCCGCCAUUGUGCCAGCACGUAGAAAAUCAUUGGGUCUCUUUCUUCCUGUUGUUGGACUUGCAU
rnacentral:misc_RNA from 1 species